rnacentral:rRNA from 1 species
UACGAAGGGGGCUAGCGUUGUUCGGAAUUACUGGGCGUAAAGCGCACGUAGGCGGAUAUUUAAGUCAGGGGUGAAAUCCCGGGGCUCAACCCCGGAACUGCCUUUGAUACUGGGUAUCUCGAGUCCGAGAGAGGUGAGUGGAAUUCCGAGUGUAGAGGUGAAAUUCGUAGAUAUUCGGAGGAACACCAGUGGCGAAGGCGGCUCACUGGCUCGGUACUGACGCUGAGGUGCGGAAGCGUGGGGAGCAAACAGG